ACAACAACAUCCCAUCCCAUCCCCUUCCCCUUCCCCGUAACCGAGCAAACUGCGCAUUAACAGAAUUUUCGCCACAGUCCACAGCCCACAAUCCGUCAUCUACAAUCCACAAUCCACAGACCAAACCAGCCAGCAAUUUGCAAUCCAACAACAACACAACUCAACCUACUCGUAAUGUGUGCUUUAUUAUGCAGCUUAUCUACUUGCAUACGCAACACAUACACUCAGCCAUGCAUGUGUCUGUGCUGUGUCUGUGUCUGUGUCUGCCUCUGCGGCUGCGUCCGUGCAUCUGUGUGGUGUGUGGGAAUUAUUUAUGAUGCUGGUAUGGAUAGCACUAGCCUGGCAGAUGACGUCAGGUCGCAGCAAUUACGAUAGUCACGACCAUUUCGAUAGGCGAUGCGCACGAAAAUAGCUUAUCGCUUAUCGAAAGCCAGAUAGAAGAAGAAAUAAAUUCCUUUCGCAUGGAUAUUGCAUGGAUAUAAAUCACGAUCAUAAACCGAUCAUACUCGUUGAAUCCACCAUGGAUAUACCCAAAACUAACGGGAAACUAAAUCCAUUAUCUGAUUGUACUAUCUUUCUCUCACUCCUCCGCCCAUCCCCCAAAACCAUUAUCUCAAGGUCGACUACAGUUUCUCUCUAAUCAAGUUUAAAUAUAAAGCAUUGUAAAAAGAGUUCAAA